GAAGUAGCCGGUCCCCUCAGGGAGCCGUGCCCCCUAACUGAAACCUGGACUUCGUUAAACCAUGACAUUUGGUAGUAGCUGCCUCUGCAGAAAGGAGGCCAGACUCUGUUCUUGUUUAUGUCAAGGACUCAAAGCAGUAUUCCUGGUUGACACUGAGGACAAGGAAGGAAGAAUGUCACCUUUAAAAGCUCAUAUUAAGGAUAAGACAAAGAGCUCCUUUUCAAAGACCCUUGGUUUCAAUUUAAGAAAAACCUGAGGAGGAACAAGAUAGUCUCCAGGUCAGAAGUUAAGAAGAACUGAAUUGAGUGAAGUUAGAGAACUGAACACAAAGAACAUUUUUUAACUGA